AGCAGCUAGUCUAUCUUCUUAUGGUCCUUAUUCGUCCACAGUCUAGUUCUUCCACUCCCUGCCUCUCUAUAUAUCUUCUAUUAUUAUUCGGAUCCUUCCACCAUAUUCUUCUUCAAAACUUAUCUCAAUACUAGAAAGAUAAUGGCCAAUAAUUCGAAGCGUCCCAAACUUUAUCUGCUUCUCCUCUACUUGUUUUCUGCAACAUUACUUAUACAAGGUAUCCCAAAAAAUUUAUGUCACUAAGUGAUCCUUUUUCAUACUUCGUUGGGUUCAUUUCCUUACUAAGAAUAUAAUAGCCAAUAAAAUUAAACACCCCAAAUUUUAUCUGCACUUUCUCUACUUGUUUUCUGCGGCAUUACUUGUACAAGGUCAUCUUCAGGAAAAGCCUGGUCCAGAAUUCAAAUGCAAUUUCCACAUCAUCGAAGAGGCUAUCAUAUUUUACCGUCAACAGGAGAGUUAAACUUGAAGGAUAUAUAUUCAAGAAGAUCAUUGAUUGGAUCAGUGGCACCUACUUGCACGUAUAAUGAAUGCAAAGGGUGUAAGUACAAGUGCAGAGCCGAGCAAGUUCCAGUCGAAGGGAACGACCCAAGGAACAGUCCAUACCACUACAAAUGUGUGUGCCAUAGGUGAUAUUUCGUGUAAACCAAGACACUUUUGGUAUGCAGUAUUGGACAAUAAAUUAUAUUUUAGCUACAAUAUGAUGUCCAGUAUUAAACAGUCGAGUCGAGUAACUUGAAUUAUGGUUCAUAUUAUAGGAAUAUGCUAGAAAAUUAAGUCUUCUGUUUUCUACACUGCUUUUGUCACUAAAACUAGUUAGACUGUGCCAUUCUUGAUUCAGGAUGCCACAUUUUAUGAAUUUUUGGAUUGAGUUAUUAUUUAAUAUUUUGUUGGAAA